GGGACCAAUGAUAAGGACUUCCCAUCGGUAAAGGUCAUUGUCAUCUAUUAAACCUGCUGAAAAGCCUUCCACUGGAUUUUUGUUGAGUUCUGCCAGCCGUCUGUGCAGUAGCAGCGCCGACUGCAGCUCCGUCAUCCUCCCGCCGAGGGCCCGGGCCGGCGCCGGGGCUUUCGGAGGGCCGGGGGCAGGCUCUUGGGGGCGCCUGGAGCUGGAGCCGGGUGUGCUGAGGAACGCGGGCCCCCGCGACGGGAGCGCUGGAGCCGGGGCAGGGCCGGGCUGGGGCGGCGGGUCCGCUCGGCUCCACACAGCGCCUCACGCCCGGAAGGGGAGGGCGCCCGGGCGGCCGCGGCGCGCGCUGGGACUCCGCUCGCCCGCUUCCCUCCUUCAAGCCUCCUGUCGGCCCCGCCGGUGCCUUCCCCCGCCACUGCCUCACUGCGCGCAGGGCCGCUCCGCGCAGGCGCGCUGGGGCUGCCCACCUCGGUGGGGCCCGCCCGCAAGCCCGACC